rnacentral:ncRNA from 1 species
CUUUUUUACAAGACUAAAAACUUAGUUUGAUUCUAACUAAUUUAAAUAGCUAAAAAAUGUCUUUACAUGUGAAUUUUUGUGUGUUAUAUUAUUAUUCUUAAAGAAUAAUGGUUUUUAUUCGCAGUUAAAAAUUUUAUUAAAAUAAAUUAUUUUAGUAUUAGUCAAUUUGGUUAGAAUAAUUAAAAAUUGUGCCAGCAAAUGCGGUUAUACAAUUUAUUCUAGUUAUUUUUUUUAAAAAAUAUUUAGUUAUUUUUCUUGGAUUUUAUUAUAAUUAUUAUUAAGUGAAAUUUUAAUUUUAUAUUAGAUUUUUGGUUAAAUAUUAAAUAUGAAACUCAUUUUUUAAACUAGGAUUAGAUACCCUAUUAUUUUGAGCUUAAAGAUUUGAUUUUUUUUGGUAUUAAUAGUUAUGAUCUUUAAAUUAAAAGAUUUUGGCGGUAACUUAAUCUGUUUAGAGGAACCUGUUCUUUAAUCGAUAAUCCACGUUGGAUUUAACUUUAAUUUAAUUUGUAUAUCUCUGUCAUUAGAAUGUUUUAUUAGGAUUAUUAUUUUCUUUAAUUAUUAUUUAAAUAAUGUCAGGUCAAGGUGCAGUUAUAUUAAAGGUUGUAAUGGGUUACAUUUAAUGUUAUUUAUUGGAUUAUUAUUAUUAUUAUUUUAUAUUAAAAAGGAUUUAAAAGUAAAUUUUAGUAUCUACUAUUUUUGAUUUAAGCACUAAGUUAUGCACAUAUCGCCCGUCACUCUCAUUAAAUUGAGAUAAGUCGUAACAAAGUAAUUCUAUUGGAAAGUGGGGUUGGAUUUUA